GAUGAACGCUAGCGGCAGGCAUAAUACAUGCAAGUUGAACGGGAUUCAGAUAGCAAUAUUUGAUGAGAGUGGCGCACGGGUGCGUAACACGUAUGCAACUUACCUUAAACUGGGAGAUAGCCCGUGGAAACAUGGAUUAAUAUCCCAUAGUAUAAAGAACAGGCAUUUGUUUUUACUAAAGCUCCGGCGGUUUAAGAUGGGCAUGCGCGUCAUUAGCUAGAUGGAGAGGUAACGGCUCACCAUGGCAACGAUGACUAGGGGGUCUGAGAGGAUGUCCCCCACACUGGUACUGAGACACGGACCAGACUCCUACGGGAGCAGCAGUAGGGAAUAUUGGGCAAUGGACGCAAGUCUGACCCAGCCAUGCCGCGUGCAGGAAGACGGCCCUCUGGGUUGUAAACUGCUUUUCAUCAGGGAAGAAACCCUUNUACGUGUAGGAGGCUGACGGUACCUGAGGAAUAAGGAUCGGCUAACUCCGUGCC
rnacentral:rRNA from 1 species